UCGAUGUAUGCUCUCCUCGCCGCCUCUGCCCGCCGCCGCCCUCGGUCUUCUUCUCCGACCGUCCGCCGCCGCCCGCCAGUCUUCUUCUCCAGCCGUCCGCCGCCCGUCCUCCUUCCCCUCCACAUCUGCCCCUAAUCUUCUCCGGCGCCGCCCAUAGCCUCCUCAAUCUCCAACCUAUUGUUCUCGUGCUUCUCUGAUUUGGAUCGAGAUAGGAGUCCUGGAUCGAGUUAGGGUCCGUGUUCUUCUCCAACACAAAGCUAUGGAGGGUCCUGUAAUAAGAAGGAAGGAUCCUCGACCGGAAUCUGCCCCAGGCAGGACCUCAAUGGCGACCUGCAGGCCCGGCCUCUCUCUCUCUCUCUCUCUCUCUCUCUCUCUCUCUCUCUCUCUCUCUCUCUCUCUUUCGACUCCCUCUUUUUGCGACCUCAAGAAGCUACGGCGGCUCAUCCUCGAGGCCAAGCUCGUGCAAUUCCGACGACUCCAGGCCUAAUUUGUUUCCUGCUCUAUCUGGUCCAAGUGAUGCGCCAAGGGGAUUUGCACCAGCUUUCAGGAUUGUUCAGUUUCAUGCUAAGAAAAAAAUAGGGUUGAGGGGAACCACUUCUUUGGCGUGUUGUUCCAAUAGUUCAUGAUGAUGAGAGUCCAUGCCAGCGCAACUCUCGCAAUUCUCUGAACUCUUUCUGAAGUAUACUGCAAGAUUCGAUUAUAGUGUGGCCUUCAAAUCAGAGCUACAAUAUUGCCUUUGUAGCUGCAUGGGCCAGGAGUGAACUAAACUCGUCCGACAGUGUUCUACGGUUCGCCGCAACUUCGUAGGCCGGUUUUCCACUUGAGGUAUGUAGACAAGGAGGAUUGAAAUCAUGGUAUUUGGUUCUCUGCAAUCUAUAGUAAUAUGUCUUUGGUCUUAUUUUCCUACUGCUGGUUGUGUUUGUGGUACAUAAUACUCUGAUGUUGAAAGGGUGGAUCAGGUCAUGGAGUACCUAUGCCCCCAUCGAGUAGCUUAUGCGUCCUAUAUUUAGCUUUUCAAGAUUAUUAGAUGUUUUAUGUCAAGAUGAAUACAUGGAUAGUCCGCUAUUUGCAGUAUUGUUAUAAUUGCUCCCUGCUUCCGAUAAAAUGAUUUCUUUUGUUCAUUAGAGUUACAGUAUUACAAUGCAAUGGUUGUUAUAAUAUGGAGAACUGGUUAAUUAUAAGAGAGUGUCACAUAUGAGGAUGAAAGCAUGGAUCAGCUCCUGUAGUAGUUAUCUUUGAUUUACGACAGAGUUUACUUAUGGUUAUAGAAUGGAACUUUGUAUUAUUUUGCCAUCCUAUUUCCUUUUUGAAAAUAGCUACAGCAACUGUCAGUUUAAAUUGAUGCGAGCAAGUAAAUAACGCAAUUUUCUUAAUAACUUUUGCCGCACAUAUUGUAACUGUAAGCCGCUAUUCAGGAUCAAGGUAACUCUCUAUGUAAUUCCAGAGCAGAGGUUUAUAAGGUAACUCUCUAUGAAACAGAUGUUUUGUGAACGAGCAGAUUUGAUGUUUGAUUUGCAUAAACAUGGGAAAUUCAUAGUUAUUUACUAUUCAAAUUUGAAGCUAAUAUGGUAUUUGAUUCAUGCAUAGGGCUGAAGGUUUUACUCAAAUUCGUGUUAUACUAGAGUUAGCGCCUAAAAAAAUGUCAGUGUAUCUCUUGGGGGAGGAGGUGGGAGAGAUGUAGCAGGUAGAAGAUGGACCGUGGAUAAGAAAGAGGAAGGGAUAAAGUGUCAAUUGGCAAUGAAAACUUUAGUAUUUGUGAUGUAAAUUUGAAUGCUAAAGUUUGAAUUUUUUUUCCUGGUCUUAAUUUUUUCUUUCAAAUGCAAGUGGAUUAAUCUGCAUAAAAUUUAAUAAUAUGUUGUAUUCAACUUUAUUUGGAUUUGCCUUCCACUCAUAGGUCGGAGUCUAGAGUUUACGCAUACCGUUGCAUCAAUAUUGUUGCAUCAUGGUCAAUUCUCUUGGACAGAUAGCUGAGGCCAUUGCAUAAUUUCAGAGGUACUUAUAAAUAUAAAAUGGCUUUCUUUAGCAAAAAUGCAAAAGUUACGAUGUUUAUUUUGAUAACCUUGACAAUGUCAAGUACAUAGAAUUGGAAUGGAGCCGAGCAACCCUGGUUCAUUGUAACUGGUGUUUGCUUCACAUCGAAUCAUUGAAGGAGUAUGAUGCUGCUUUGGAAGGAGGCUUUUCUCAAUCUGUGUUGCUUUCGGAGCGAGGCUGGGCCACAUCCACACUAUUGUCGCUCGCCUGCCUGGGCCUGGGACGUGUUAUUGAAGCCUUCACCAUGCUACAGAGGACAGUCAUGAAGCUCAGUGUUAGAAGACAAGUUGGCUUCGUAUAUUGGCGAAAUCUCAACCCAUGUUCUUCAGUUGGCUUCAUAUAUUGGAUGUUGACACUUCGCUUGCUUCUGAUAAGAAUGCUUGGAAAGUUAUAAUGAAAAAUGGAAAACUUGUGUAGUUUUACAAGACAAGUAAGCGCCUAUGACCUUUCCUAUCCGACACAACGCAAGUGCGCACGACAGCUAGCACAACAAACAAACACCAAGCAAGCACACGUACACAGCAGUAGCAUGUACUCCCUCCGUAAACUAAUAUAAGAGCGUUUAGAAUACUAAAGUAGUGAUCUAAACGCUCUUAUAUUAGUUUACAGAGGGAGUAGAAGCUAUCACACACGCGCCCGACACAACAGCCGACUCGGGACUGGAUGACCACGACGUGCGUGGGUUGAGGCCUCACCGAAGGAGCGGCGCUUGCGGUGUCUGCAUGUUCGGCCUCGCUACACUCCAUCAUAGUCACAUCACGGAGCGCUGCAGUAGGGCAACGAUUCUGCUAGAGGUAAAUAGGGGUUUGGGGUGCUAUUGUCCAAGAUUGUGCUACCAAGGAUUGUGGAUCUUAACUAUUAGACUAUUCAUUUGUAAUCUUAAUCUAUAAAAAGAAAGUAAGGUUGUAUUGUAUUUAGCACUCUUGUGAUAAGAAUGCUUUUUUUGUUGUUCUUAUUAAAACA